GGCCUCGUGGUCUAGUGGUAUGAUUCUCGCUUUGGGUGCGAGAGGUCCCGGGUUCGAUCCCCGGCGGGGCCA
rfam:Pythium ultimum DAOM BR144 ctg_1117875580400, whole genome shotgun sequence.